AGAUGUGUAACGGCAAACGAAAAUACAACGCAGCAUGUGCAUGCUGAGCGGGGCUUAUCUACACCGUCUAGAUUCGUCUGGGGAUGGGCGCCAGGCUCUCUCCCCCCGCGUAUUCGUGUGUAUUCUUGUUUUUGUAGUGGGAUGUAUUGCAUUUUUGGGGGCCCACAACAUCACGUGCAUUUGAUCAGACGGCCUGCUCCGCGGUCUUUCUCUCUCUCCCAGGAGAAUCUGAGGCUGAGCGGUCUUCGUCCCCGGCGACGAUGCGGCCUCAUCACCGGCGUCGGCUCCCGACAACGUCGAGUGCUGCCCUGUGAUGAGGGAGCGCCGUCGUCUUCGCCUCCGGCUAAGUCUCUCCUUCCGGCGAGCGAGCGCAUCCGACUUCGUCUCCGACGCCGUACUCGGUACUCCUCGUCGCCGUGCAUCGACGAUCUUUUUCUGGCGAGUUAGUGAUUUCCUCCACGUCUCCUGCGCACGCACGCAUGCAUACCAUUUUGGAUCUCGAACCUGUUGUUUUAUUGCCAAUCCACUACGAUUCCAUCUCUGAAAGAGGAGAUUCAGGAGUGUCAGGAGUUACAGUAUGUGAAAAAUCGGCAGCUCGCCAGCAUGAUAGCAGAAUUAUUGAAGGAGCAGGCAUGUAGUAUUGCUGAAGAUCAUGUGCCACCAGCCCACCAAGAUGAGCAAAUACAGAAAAUUCGCCACCUAGGCAUAGCAUUUUCAAGCUCAUUAUCUUCUUCCUAGGUGCAGCAUUCCUGCUUAAGAUAUUAGCUUCUGUAAUUGAGUAGUGAAUUAGCCGUUAAUAUGUGUCUGAGGGAGAGUGUAAUGAAUUUUUAGUGAUUGUCAGACUCUAAUCAGUUUCCAUGAUUACUAUUAUGAUUUUUUUGUUGAUCA